rnacentral:tRNA from 1 species
GAGGGGAUAGCUCAGUGGUAGAGUAUCUCUCUAGAAUGCACAAGGUCCUGGGUUCAAUCUCCAGUACCUCCA